rnacentral:rRNA from 1 species
GACGAACGCUGGCGGCGUGCCUAAUACAUGCAAGUAGAACGCUGAAGAGAGGAGCUUGCUCUUCUUGGAUGAGUUGCGAACGGGUGAGUAACGCGUAGGUAACCUGCCUUGUAGCGGGGGAUAACUAUUGGAAACGAUAGCUAAUACCGCAUAACAAUGGAUGAAACAUGUCAUUUAUUUGAAAGGGGCAAUUGCUCCACUACAAGAUGGACCUGCGUUGUAUUAGCUAGUAGGUGAGGUAAUGGCUCACCUAGGCGACGAUACAUAGCCGACCUGAGAGGGUGAUCGGCCACACUGGGACUGAGAAACGGCCCAGACUCCUACGGGAGGCAGCAGUAGGGAAUCUUCGGCAAUGGGGGCAACCCUGACCGAGCAACGCCGCGUGAGUGAAGAAGGUUUUCGGAUCGUAAAGCUCUGUUGUAAGUCAAGAACGGGUGUGAGAGUGGAAAGUUCACACUGUGACGGUAGCUUACCAGAAAGGGACGGCUAACUACGUG